GGACAAAUUAAAUACAGCAGAAGGAAAAAGACCAAUAUUAGCUUUAUGCUUAUAACAUCAUAACAAUAAUAAUAAUAAUUCAAAGACAAACUAGAAGUAAUUUUCAUUAAUUCAUAUUUUUCCUAUCUCACUUCAUAUUUAUAUCUUUCUUUUUCUACUACAUUUUUGUUCAUAUAUAUAUAUAUAUAUAAUUCUUCAUACAGUGUACAAUUAUACAUGAUUCAACCACUGAAGCUCAAGAAAGAUAAAAAGUGAAACAACUGAUGUAUAUUCUUCUAGACAUGUUUGGUUUACUAGAAAAUCCUUAACCAAAUUUCAGCAGGUAGAAGUUUUCCUACUUGUUACAACCAUGGAAGUUUAUGCAUUCAAGAAUUUUAAGUAAAUUGAUUCAUUCCACCGAUUGUAAUUAAAACAAUCAGAGAAUGUUUCAAUGGCAGUAGUCUGACAUGCAGUGGAAUGCAAAACUACAAAGACUUCCUGAGUCAGGAAACAGCAGUUUCUGAACUGGAUAAUGAAUCAGUCAAAGGUCAUGUUUUCUGCCUCUUGCCUAAAGGAUUCAAACAAUGCAGAAGACAGGUAACGCUCGCCCGCGCUGGGGAAAAUAAC
rnacentral:lncRNA from 1 species